AGGACCUAACUUCCUUCAUAAGGAUGUGGUAAGAGAUUGAGGAGAAAAGGCUUGUAGCUUUUAUUGUGGGAGCAUCACGGAACCCUCUGGUAGCAAUAACUAUUAUUUACAGAGGGCUCGUUAAUGGGAUAUGCUUCUUAAUUGAUAGUGUAAGUUUCAUGUUAAAAUUUUCCCUAAUAUAUUUUU
ensembl:misc_RNA